rnacentral:lncRNA from 1 species
CAGGCGGGCGGGACUUCCCCCGUCUAUACAUAAUGCAUGACCUGGGCGCUUUGCAAUGAAGCCCUGCUAAUUGGCUAAUUAAAAAGUGAAACGCGCGGAAGGAGCCACCGCGGUAUCCACAGGAGACCCUCACUGCCGCACCCUGGGGCUGUGUGUGCCAGUGCCUUCAGCUCAAUGGAGCCGGGGGCACGCAGCCCUGGGGCAGCCCGGAACGAGAGGCUGAUGCUGGAAGCAGCCUUCUUGCCUUCUUGCCUUCUUUUGAAUCUUUUUUUUUUGCGCCUGAAGAUUUUGUGACCCAGGAUGAUGUAGUGGGACCCCAGACGUUUCCCAGUAUCGUGGACACCUUCCUGGUGGGCCGCCUGGUGCUGCUGGCCUUCAUGGCCCUGCUGCUGCUGGGCUGCGUGCUGCUGCUGGGGCUGCACCUCCUGGAGCCGAUACACGCCAAGGCGCUGCGCUGCUGGAGCACUGAGGGAAAGUCCUCGAGAAGUGGAUCCCCUUUUCGUGGCAGUAAACCGGGUGACCGAGUUGGGGCGUUGAUUUUUACUGAAUCAAUUUUCACAAAUUGUUGGGUUUUUUAAUUCUUUUUUAACAUUAAUAAAACUUUUGGAGGAAGCCCUGGCCCAGUCUUUAUCUGUUUUCCACGAAUAGGAGUUUUGCAGCAUUUUGAUGUUAGUGAAAGCUGCCCUUUCUAUGCUUUUUGGGAGUUUUGUCCUUUCUAGGUGUGGGGGGGUUGGGAUGCUCACUGUGCUCUGCUCCCAGUUAUGCAACACCAGCAUUGGCUCUCUGGGAGAUUCUGAAGUUGAGCCUGAAACAGAAUUUGUAUUUGAUUCUUCAUCUUAAUAACAGACUGCAGUGAGCAGUUCCCAAAGCCUCACUGCUGGCAUCCCGUCUCACAAAUAGGGAAGCUGUGGCAAAGCAGCUGAAGCGCUAAAAAAAAGCCCUAAAAGCAGAAGCGUGAGGCUUCUCCCUGGAAAUACACCCCAAAUGUUUGCUUUAUGCUCCCGUUAGUCAC